rfam:Alligator mississippiensis ScZkoYb_47, whole genome shotgun sequence.
ACCUACGGCCAGACCGGGCUGAUCGCACCCGAUCCCGUCCGAUCUCGGAAGGUAAGCAGUCCCUGGCCCAGCUAGUAGCUGGAUGGGAGACUGCCUGGGAAUCCCGGGUGCUGUAGGCC